rnacentral:rRNA from 1 species
AUAGUUGCUAAUAUUAAGUUUAAGGAACUCUAUUGAGACUGCCAGCGACAAGCUGGAGGAAGGUGGGGAUGACGUCAAAUCAUCAUGCCCUUUAUGACCUGGGCUACAAACGUACUACAAUGGCCAGAUACAAAGAGAUGCGAAGCCGCGAGGUGGAGCGAACCUCAUAAAAAUGGUCUCAGUUCGGAUUGGAGUCUGCAACUCGACUCCAUGAAGUCGGAAUCGCUAGUAAUCGCGGGUCAGCAGACCGCGGUGAAUACGUUCCCGGGUUUU